rnacentral:rRNA from 1 species
CCUUUGAAUUUUUUCUCAAGGUUGACCUCGGAUCAGGUAGGGAUACCCGCUGAAC